UAGGGAAUCUUCGGCAAUGGGGGCAACCCUGACCGAGCAACGCCGCGUGAGUGAAGAAGGUUUUCGGAUCGUAAAGCUCUGUUGUAAGAGAAGAACGUGUGUGAGAGUGGAAAGUUCACACAGUGACGGUAACUUACCAGAAAGGGACGGCUAACUACGUGCCAGCAGCCGCGGUAAUACGUAGGUCCCGAGCGUUGUCCGGAUUUAUUGGGCGUAAAGCGAACGCAGGCGGUUUAAUAAGUCUGAAGUUAAAGGCAGUGGCUUAACCAUUGUUCGCUUUGGAAACUGUUAAACUUGAGUGCAGAAGGGGAGAGUGGAAUUCCAUGUGUAGCGGUGAAAUGCGUAGAUAUAUGGAGGAACACCGGUGGCGAAAGCGGCUCUCUGGUCUGUAACUGACGCUGAGGCUCGAAAGCGUGGGGAGCAAACAGG
rnacentral:rRNA from 1 species